rnacentral:sRNA from 1 species
UGUGUCAACGAUACCGGACUGAGCCCGUAAGGGACCAGGAGGAUAAGGAGUGGAUACAUCAUCUAUC